GGCGGUUCUCAGGUAAUGCACCCCAGAAUCAGACUCCCUCCUUUGUGGUUCUGGGUACAUCACCUGAGAACCGCC
rfam:Myotis davidii contig216971, whole genome shotgun sequence.